GAUGAACGCUGGCGGCGUGCCUAAUACAUGCAAGUCGAGCGAACAGACGAGGAGCUUGCUCCUCUGACGUUAGCGGCGGACGGGUGAGUAACACGUGGAUAACCUACCUAUAAGACUGGGAUAACUUCGGGAAACCGGAGCUAAUACCGGAUAAUAUAUUGAACCGCAUGGUUCAAUAGUGAAAGACGGUUUUGCUGUCACUUAUAGAUGGAUCCGCGCCGCAUUAGCUAGUUGGUAAGGUAACGGCUUACCAAGGCAACGAUGCGUAGCCGACCUGAGAGGGUGGUCGCCGACAUGGGAGCGGAAACAGGCACAAGACGCCUGCGGGAGGCACCAGACGGGAAUCGGCGGCAGGGGGGGAAAACCUUACGGAGCAAGGCCGAGUGAGUGAUAGAGGUGUCGGGAGCGUAAAACUGUGUUUUUGGGUAAAAACAUAUUUGUAAUUAACUGGACCCUUCUUGACGGUACCUAAUAAAAAAGCCCCGGCUAACUACGUG
rnacentral:rRNA from 1 species